CGGCAAUGGUGAUGAUGGGCAACGCUGGCUGUGAUUGCUGCGGCAGCUGCUGGAUGAUUAUCUGCUGCUGCUGCUGCUGCUGUGGCUGCUGUAUCAGAUGUUGCUGCUGCUGCUGUGGUUGCUGCUGCUGUUGCAUCAGCUGUGGCUGCUGUUGUUGCCGCUGAUGCUGCUGCUGAUGCGGCUGCUG
rnacentral:sRNA from 1 species